rnacentral:tRNA from 1 species
GGCUUCGUAGCUCAGCUGAUAGAGCGCUUGCCACGUUGCGGCCUGCCGUGCCUGUCGCUAAUUCGAAUCCAGCCGAAGCCC